rnacentral:rRNA from 1 species
GAUGAACGCUGGCGGCGUGCCUAAUACAUGCAAGUCGAGCGAACAGACGAGGGGCUUGCUCCUUUGACGUUAGCGGCGGACGGGUGAGUAACACGUAGGUAACCUACCUAUAGGACUGGGAUAACUUCGGCAAACCGGCGCUAUUACGGGAAAAUAUUUCGAACCACGUGGUUCGAUAGUGAAAGAUGGUUUUUCUAUCACUAAUAGAUGGACCUGCGCCGUAUUCGCUAGUUGUUAAGGUAACGGCUUACCAAGGCAACGAUACUUAGCCGACCUGAGAGGGAGAUCGGCCAGACUGGAACUGAGAAAGAGCCGAGACUCCUACAGUAGGCAGCAGUAGGGAAUCUUCCGCAAUGGGCGAAAGCCUGACGGUGCAACGCCGCGGGAGUGAUGAAGUUCUCCUGAUCGGAAAACUCUGUUAUUAGGGAAGAACAAACGUGUAAGUAACUGGGCACGUCUUGACGGUACCUAAUCAGAAAGCCACGGCUAACUACGUG